rnacentral:rRNA from 1 species
CCUACGGGUGGCAGCAGUGAGGAAUAUUGGUCAAUGGGCGCGAGCCUGAACCAGCCAAGUAGCGUGAAGGAUGACUGCCCUACGGGUUGUAAACUUCUUUUAUAAAGGAAUAAAGUGAUGCACGUGUGCCUUUUUGUAUGUACUUUAUGAAUAAGGAUCGGCUAACUCCGUGCCAGCAGCCGCGGUAAUACGGAGGGUCCGAGCGUUAUCCGGAUUUAUUGGGUUUAAAGGGAGCGUAGGUGGGUUGUUAAGUCAGUUGUGAAAGUUGCGGGCUCAACCGGAAAAUUGCAGUUGAUACUGGCAGCCUUGAGUACAGUAGAGGUAGGCGGAAUUCGUGGUGUAGCGGUGAAAUGCUUAGAUAUCACGAAGAACCCCGAUUGCGAAGGCAGCCUACUAGACUGCCACUGACAUUGAGGCUUGAAAGUGUGGGUAUCAAACAGGAUUAGAUACCCCUGUAGUC